rnacentral:ncRNA from 1 species
UGUCCUGCGGGGCCCGAAGUGUUUACUUUGAAAAAAUUAGAGUAUUCAAAGCAGGCCCAAGCCGCCUGGAUACCACAGCUAAGAAUAAUGGAAUAGGACCGCGGUUCUAUUUUAUUGGUUUUCGGAACUGAGGCCAUAAUUAAGAGGAAGGCCAAGGUGGUGGUGUGGUGGCAGCUGAAGGCGGCACGGAGAUGCGGGUCUCAGCAGCAGAUUGAAAUCCAGAGUCCUUUUCAGA